rnacentral:rRNA from 1 species
GAUGAACGCUGGCGGCGUGCCUAAUACAUGCAAGUCGAGCGAACAGAUGAGGAGCUUGCUCCUCUGACGUUAGCGGCGGACGGGUGAGUAACACGUGGAUAACCUACCUAUAAGACUGGGAUAACUUCGGGAAACCGGAGCUAAUACCGGAUAAUAUAUUGAACCGCAUGGUUCAAUAGUGAAAGACGGUUUUGCUGUCACUUAUAGAUGGAUCCGCGCCGCAUUAGCUAGUUGGUAAGGUAACGGCUUACCAAGGCAACGAUGCGUAGCCGACCUGAGAGGGUGAUCGGCCAGACUGGAACUGAGACACGGUCCAGACUCCUACGGGAGGCAGCAGUAGGGAAUCUUCCGCAAUGGGCGAAAGCCUGACGGAGCAACGCCGCGUGAGUGAUGAAGGUCUUCGGAUCGUAAAGCUAUGUUAUUAGGGAAGAACAAAUGUGUAAGUAACUAGGCACGUCUUGACGGUACCUAAUCAGAAAGCCACGGCUAACUACGUG